rnacentral:rRNA from 1 species
UGAGGAAUAUUGGUCAAUGGGCGGAAGCCUGAACCAGCCAUGCCGCGUGCAGGAAGGAGGCCCUACGGGUUGUAAACUGCUUUUACCCGGGAAGAAACCGCCCCUUGUGGGGGGCGUUGCCGGUACCGGGGGAAAAAGGAUCGGCUAACUCCGUGCCAGCAGCCGCGGUAAUACGGAGGAUCCGGGCGUUAUCCGGAAUUACUGGGUUGAAAGGGUGCGUAGGCGGGGCUUUAAGCCGGCGGUGAAAUGCAGCGGCUCAACCGCUGGAAUGCCGUUGGGACUGGGGCUCUUGGAUACGGUCGGGGCGGGUGGAACUCGUGGUGCAGCGGUGAAAUGCAUAGAUAUCACGAGGAACGCCGGUAGCGAAGGCAGCUCGCCGGGCCGGUAUUGACGCUGAGGCACGAAAGCGUGGGGAUCGAACAG